rnacentral:rRNA from 1 species
CCUACGGGAGGCAGCAGUGAGGAAUAUUGGUCAAUGGACGAGAGUCUGAACCAGCCAAGUCGCGUGAGGGAUGACUGCCCUGUGGGUUGUAAACUUCUUUUAUAAGGGAAUAAAACGAGGCACGUGUGCCUUUUUGCAUGUACCUUAUGAAUAAGGAUCGGCUAACUCCGUGCCAGCAGCCGCGGUAAUACGGAGGAUCCGAGCGUUAUCCGGAUUUAUUGGGUUUAAAGGGAGCGUAGAUGGGUUGUUAAGUCAGUUGUUAAAGUUUGCGGCUCAACCGUAAAAUUGCCAUUGAUACUGGCAGUCUUGAGUACAGGUGACGUAGGCGGAAUUCGUGGUGUAGCGGUGAAAUGCUUAGAUAUCACGAAGAACCCCGAUUGCGAAGGCAGCUUAC